UUUUAGUCUCUCUUCCUUUGGAGAACUGUUCUUAUUCAUAUUAUUCUAACAAAACCAUCUUCAUCAAUCAACAUGAGAAAUUGGCUUCAAAAAAUGUAAGAGUUUUUGAAAAAUGUUUUUGAAGAUUCUAACAACAAAACAAUCUUCCAUCGGAUUCACAAAAUGUAAAAGUUUCUUGUUUGUCCAGAACCGGCCACAUGAAGAUCAUCCAUUCUUCCUCUUUCCAGCUCCAAGCUUGAUCGAGAUAGUGAGCAGAUUUUUAUUCCUAAAGAUAUUUCUGUUGAUUAAGGUUGGAUUAUUCGAUUGCCAUUUUUUUGGGUUUUACAUAUUGCAACUCCACAGGUAUUGCAGUCCAAGUAACUUUCCUCACCUUACUCAAUUGUUCCAUUUGUUCAAUGAGUACAAUGGAAAUUAUGCUUUGUAUUUUUUGAAUUUUUCUUGAGUAGAAUUAAAAUUAUUCCUAACAACAAAAUAAUCUUCCAUCGGUUUCACAAAAUGUAAAAGUUUCUCGUUUGUCCAUAACCGGCCACAUGAAGAUCAUCCAUUCUUCCUCUUUCCAGGUCCAAGCUUGAUCGAGAUAGUUGAUUAAGGUUGGCUUAUUUGAUUGCCAUUUUUUUGGGUUUUACAUAUUGCAACUCCACAGUUAUUGCACUCCACAUUGUUGGAGAUUGGUAAUAUUUUUUUUUGAAGACAUGGUUGAAAGUUCUUGUAGCAUUUUGUUUGUGUUUUGUAGGUUGUUGAAUAUUUGGCAAUAUAUUUUUUUAAGAGAUGGUUGAAAGUUAUUGUGACAUUUAUAUUUUCAUUUUAUUUUUAUUUAUUUUUUGUAAUGCUACCAUUUAAUGGUUGUAACGCUUUAAUUGAAGAGGAAGUAAUUAAGAGGGAUAGAGGGGGGUUACAAACACCACAACCGCUAGAUGUCUUUUGCUAGGAUGAGAUUGGGAUGGUCGGAUCACGUGUUUGUCUCUCAAAAUGUUAUUUGUCCGUCCAAGGCUCAAAAACCCAUGUUGUUUUGUAUUAUAGAUUGAAUGGUGUUGGAGUUG